UACGUAGGGUGCAAGCGUUGUCCGGAAUUAUUGGGCGUAAAGAGCUUGUAGGCGGUCUGUCGCGUCUGCUGUGAAAAUCCGGGGCUCAACCCCGGACUUGCAGUGGGUACGGGCAAACUAGAGUGUUGCAGGGGAGACUGGAAUUCCUGGUGUAGCGGUGGAAUGCGCAGAUAUCAGGAGGAACACCGGUGGCGAAGGCGGGUCUCUGGGCAGUAACUGACGCUGAGGAGCGAAAGCGUGGGGAGCGAACAGG
rnacentral:rRNA from 1 species